CUAAAAGCAGACAAAGAGUCAGAAUUGCAUCUUCCACCCCUUUAGAGGCUUGACAGGCUUGCAGGGGUCAGUGAGUUGCUGUGUUUGUGAUACCAUAUACUUCUUCUAGUUGUUUAAAGCACUUGUCUGAAGUGCUUUCAACAGCCUUACUGUGUUAGAUGAGACUCCUAAACUUGAAUGUUCACAGGAAGUAUAGAACAUUUCCAUAAAGUGGUCAUUUUUCUGCAGUCAGUGCUACAGUGCAGUAUGUACUCCUCUGCCUUUCAGGGCAGUAUAUGAUCACACAGGCGUUCAGAGGACACAGAGGAGGUCACUGGAUUCAGCCAGCACUGCAUACAUACACAAGCUGCAUACAGUUUGCCGCUCCAGGCCAAGGAUCACUGUCACACACAAACACACAGAAGAAUGCAGUAAGGGGAGAAGAGGGUUGGGGGUAAGUAACUCGUAAAAAAAAAAAAAAAAGGAAAAAAAGUGUAAGUUAAGGUUAACUGUCUCUCUUGUCCAUGCUGUGUGAAGGAAUGAUGCCUGUGUGCCUUACUUCUGUUUCAGUAAAUACAUCUCACAUUUUCAAAACAAACUUGUUACUUUAAGUUCUAUGCAUUUGAGGGGAAUUAUUGAUUUUUUCGUUAGUAUUACCCCUUCCCAACAUGACAGACACAACAGACGUAACAAGACAAAAAAGAUGUACCAAUACGAAGCAGUUUC
rnacentral:lncRNA from 1 species